AAGACCAGGUCAACGGUUGUUCUAGCAGAGCAGUUGGUUUGUAAGCUGUCACCCUCUGAUCCAUUACACGAAUGACCAGUCUGCUCAGUACAAAGGGAUGUUACUCUGUCAGUGUGGAUCUGAUAAGCCUGAUCAUGAUUCAUCUGGUCUGGGUGACACAAGUAUAGUUUGUUCACGGCAGAGUUGUCACUUUUUCAAUGGAAGUGAUCAGGCUCAAUGGACCAGUCUACUUGUGAAAGUGAAUGUGGCAGUUUGAGAACGAAGAAUUUUGGAAAACGGACCAUCUUUGGUUCGAAUUAUCGAUCAUUUCCAAAUUGCUGACAGAGGACUGAGCUUGAUUACAUGUAACAGGUAAGAGUUGUAAGACAUCAUCAGCUGGAUUAAUAGGCCUACCGGUAGAUGGAGGAAAUUCGUAAAUCGCCAUUUGUUUAUCUCUGUCUGUUGUGGCAGUGCUGCAUGAACUGGUAGUGGAUGGGUUUAAUAUUUUCGAUAAUGAACUACUGAGACAUAACUUCUGUGUUAAUGACACUUUUCAGUUGUAAGAUCGCAGAGACCCCUCGUUUUUAUGAUCAGACAAGUACAUUACAUGUAUGUGUCUGGCCUCGUAUCCUUCGUCAUUUAAAUGUUGUAUGGCAGUCGCCCUUAGACAAUGCCCUGUAUAAAUCUGUGAUAGCCCAGCUGCCUUGCUGAUGUCUUUCAUAAAAUUUGAAAAGGUUCUCUUUUGUAGAAGGACAUUUAUGAACCAUUUUGAUGUACUGUUUGGAAGCGACACUGCAUCAUUUGUGUAUUUGUUGAAGAGGGAGGUGGCGGAUUCAUCAGUUUUCUCAAUUAGUAACUUUAACAUUUUCACUGGACAAGUAUCGGUACCUGUUGCGUACAUGCGUUUAUCAACGUUCAUUUCUACAUUUUGAAGACUGCCCUGGUGGUUUUUCUGUUGAAUUUCGUGACUGAUCAUUGCAUAUUCACCAUUUUGAUCCGUAUGAAAUGUAAAAGAAUUCAACUUCAGCUGAUGGUGAAAUUCUUGGCCCGAGAAAGGAAAUGGAUGGCCAGAUUGAAAUAUACACUCCAACGCAAUAUGAUUGGGUUACUCAGUGCAUCUUUGAAGGAACACAGAUGGUUUGCCCCGAUCACUGGAUAUUGUUCUCGGAUGUGAUGAAUGCCUUGUUCAUGUGGGCUCUUCAGAAAACGAAUUCGGACAUGAAUCUAUGGAAUUCUGAGGUGAAACAAAAACAUAUUGAAGAACAUGGAUUUUGUAGUCAAACGCUUGCACAUAUCACUGUGUUUUCAUUCCUACGGAAACAGAGACAUCUUACAUGUAACUUGGAUUAUUUCUUUUUUGCCCAGUAUAGCUGCAACUAAUGAUAAAAAGGAAAUCAGAAUAUAUGUUUGUGACAGCAAACAUGAUAUCUUGCUGGAAAGUAGAGAAAUGAACUUGUUCAUUGAGAUUCUGGGAACAAAAAGUCAACCACUCAGCUAUGAGGCUAUCUUGGCUGUGUGGCUUGUUGUUAACUAUAGAUUAUUGUGUAAUGGCCCACAAUCAUUAUUGCAAGUUCCCAAAGCCAGUUUCAUGUAGGAUGCAUUGGCAUGUACAAAAUGGCACUUUAACUAAUAACAUACCACACACUAGUUUUGCUGAUUAUGGUUACAUGUACAUUGAUAUCUUGAAAUGAAAAUUUAUUUGGCCAUAAGGUAUGUCUUGCAGGUUUCUUGUGGCUGAAAAGAAUCGAUUAUUGU